rnacentral:rRNA from 1 species
UGAACGCUAGCGGCGGGCCUAAUACAUGCAAGUUGAACGGGAUUGUUGGUAGCAAUAUUGACAUGAGAGUGGCGCACGGGUGCGUAACACGUAUGUAACCUACCUUUAACUGGGGCAUAGCUUCGAGAAAUCGAAAUUAAUACCCCAUAACAUUUAAGAAAAGGCAUCUUUUCUUUAUCAAAAGCUCAGGCGGUUAAGGAUGGACAUGCGGUGCAUUAGCUUGUUGGUGAGGUAACGGCUCACCAAGGCUACGAUGCAUAGGGGGUCUGAGAGGAUGAUCCCCCACACUGGUACUGAGACACGGACCAGACUCCUACGGGAGGCAGCAGUAGGGAAUAUUGGGCAAUGGACGAAAGUCUGACCCAGCCACGCCGCGUGAAGGAUGAAUGCCCUCUGGGUUGUAAACUUCUUUUGUAUGGGAAGAAAAUUCCGAACGUGUUCGGAGCUGACGGUACCAUAAGAAUAAGCAUCGGCUAACUCCGUG